AUACGUAGGUGACAAGCGUUAUCCGGAUUUACUGGGCGUAAAGGGCGUGUAGGCGGUCUUGCAAGUCAGAAGUGAAAUUCCUGAGCUCAACUCGGGCGCUGCUUCUGAAACUGCAGGACUUGAGUGCUGGAGGGGAUAGCGGAAUUCCUAGUGGAGCGGUAAAAUGCGCAGAUAUUAGGAAGAACACCGGUGGCGAAGGCGGCUAUCUGGAAAGUAACUGGAGCUGAGGCGCGAAAGGGUGGGGAGGCAACAGGGUUAAAUUCCCCGGUUGUCCCACGCCUUAAACGUGGAUUCCUGGUUGAGGGGGUAUCGACUCCCUCUGUGCCGCAGUUAACACAAUAAGUAUUCCGCCUGGGGAGUACGGCCGCAAGGUUGAAACUCAAAGGAAUUGACGGGG
rnacentral:rRNA from 1 species